CGUUGAAACACAGGUUCCCGUACGAUACCCGAAAUUAAGCAACGUUGAGACUGGUAACUACUAAAAUGGGUGACCUCUUAGGAACAACAGGGGCUA